GAUGAACGCUGGCGGCGUGCCUAAUACAUGCAAGUCGAGCGAACAGACGAGGAGCUUGCUCCUCUGACGUUAGCGGCGGACGGGUGAGUAACACGUGGAUAACCUACCUAUAAGACUGGGAUAACUUCGGGAAACCGGAGCUAAUACCGGAUAAUAUAUUGAACCGCAUGGUUCAAUAGUGAAAGACGGUUUUGCUGUCACUUAUAGAUGGAUCCGCGCCGCAUUAGCUAGUUGGUAAGGUAACGGCUUAUCAAGGCGACGAUGGGUAACCGACCUGAGAGGGUGAUCAGCCACACUGGAACUGAGACACGGUCCAGACUCCUACGGGAGGCAGCAGUAGGGAAUCGUCCGCAAUGGGCGAAAGCCUUACCGAGCGACGCCGCGUGAGUGAUGAAGGUCUUCCGAUCGUAAAACUCGGUUAUUAGGGAAAAACAAAUGUGUAAGUAACUAUGCACGUCUUGACGGUACCUAAUCAGAAAGCCACGGCUAACUACGUG
rnacentral:rRNA from 1 species